GCACAGUGCACCGAAUGACAUUCCAAUUGAGUACUUAUCAGUUGGAAUGAAAACUAUGUAGCUACCUAGCUAGAAAGCUAACUAGAAUGUAUAAGGAGAAAAAUGGAGUUGAGAGGGAAAUGUCAUUGAAUUAUUUCGAGAUGAGGAAACAACACUUGUCUGGCUGGCUGCAAAGGGAACGUUUUUGCUGUGAAGGGCACUUGGAUUUGUUUUCAGACCAAGCCUGUUACUGUAGAUGACCAACAGCGUCCCCGCUUUUCAUUUGUAAUUAGUUGGUCGUUUUAAAUGACUCAGAAUAUUUUAUCAUGUUUUAAUUCGUAAAAUUAUUUGCGUUUUCUAUGUGUUUAUGAAUACGUUUCACUUUUUCAAUUGGAGGAUCACUGCGAGGAACUCCGAGGAACUCAGAAGGCGGACGAUGUUCCGGACACCGAUUCACCUAUGUUCCGAAAAGCACCUGAAGCUCUGCCGUAUAAGUGUUCCCGCAAUGGCGGUCCCUGCCCCAUCCACCAGUCUGUCUCGUCCCUCAUCCCCUGCCCCUUCUGUUUCUCUUGUGGAGAUCAUGGAAGACACUCGAUUGGUGCUUGGAGCUUUCCUCCGCCAGUCUCUGGCUGUCCCACUUGCCCAACAGCCAGGCCGGGUAGGAGGAGCAUACAAAGACCAUCUCAAGUACAGUGCAUUUGCAGUGGGUUAUCAGAGGAAGACAGACGAUGGCUGGGACUCCCUGGAUGAACGAAUCAGUGCAGCCGAGGAAAAGAAGCAUGGAUUCAAAGCCCUGAUCAAAAAACGGCUGCGACGGCGCUCCACUGUGUUUCGCCGCUCUCAGAAGGAUACUUCUAAGAGGGAGACCCAAAUGCCUGGUGGCUCUCUUGACCGGAACAUUCAAAAAGGCCUGGCAAAGCUAGUGGUUUCUGGGGAAACUAACAGCAUUGAUCUUUCAGAAGAAAAGCACAAACUUCCAUUGCCCUCUUCAUCCUCUGAUGAAGAGAGUGGGAAAAAGGAAAGAAAAAAGAAGAAGAAAAAGAAGUCCCCCUUUUCCACCCUGCUCAGAAAAUUAAAACCCUCCAAAGAAGACGACCCGGAGAAUGCGGAGACGCAACCCAAGAGACCGGAUUCCCUGAAAUUCAGUCCAGAGGCAACGUCUGAGACAACACCCGUCUCACCCUCUCACCCUCCUCAGUUCUAUGAUGACUUGGCAGAGACCUUGGAUAAGAUUGCUCAGAAGCACACAGCAAAGAUCUCACCAGUCUGCCCACCUCCCUGCACUAGUGAAACCAAUGAUAAGGAUGCUGUGGUCAGACGACUGGUCCAUGUUUUGUCAAUGCAGGGAGAUGCCAUCAAUGACAAGAUCCAGUCUGAUCCAUUUUUGAGGUCGUCUUUGACCCGUCUCUCCUACCCUUCCUUUGCCAAGUUGCUCGAUACAUUUGCCAGUCAGGCAGAAGCUCCUGUUCCUGUCCCGGCCAGUCCCACUUUGACCCGGGUCGCCGUGACAAUGGAGGUGUCGCGGCGCAUUGUCACGGCCACAGGGACGCAUGGGAGGAUGCAGGGGUUUGCAGAGAAGUACAUGACAAACUUUGCCCCCUGGCUGCAGAGUCAGGGUGGGUGGGCCUCCUGCAGAGGGAAAUAAACCACUGUUUAUAACGGCAGCCGGAGCACCGAUGAACUGCAAUUUGGUUCAGCACUCAUCUCAGUGCUUUUCUGGUUAAAUGUGGAUUCUCAUCCAAGCCUUACUUGGGACAUUCGAGAGCGGAGCAGCUGCCACUGCAGCCCAAAGUGGACUAACCAUCCCUACUUGACAUUGUAAUAUGUGUGCCAAGGAGAACAUUGUCAAGUUAGAUGAUGUAUUGGAGUAUGACUGACAGCUUGAAACCUCCAGGCGAUAUGGAGUACAUCACUUCCUCCUGCCUAGGAAUUAUUUUCUCUGAGCUCUGAAUUAUUGUAACCUCACAUGAAGUACAAAUGGGAACUGAAAAUCAUGUGGUUUCCUCUCCAGUGCAGUUGUUUUGUGCAGAGGAGAAUGGGUACAAUGUGCAGACUGCAUCAAUGUGCAGUAAUGAAGCAAAUGCCAGUGAAACCAACAAGAAUUGAUAUGUGAAACAUGUUAUUUUUAAACUGUCAUUUUAAAAUAUUUUUUUUUUUACAAAAACAAACCUUGUUCCUUUUCCUUUUUUGUCAGUACAUGAUUUAUGAAGAUGUUACAUGACGAUUACAUAUUUACAGUGAUUCCACAGUUUGUAAUGUAUGGCAAAUGAGUUUACAUUAUAGUAAUAACAGUAACUUGCAUUGCUAGCAGUAACUAAUAUUACUGUGUAUAAGAUUAUAUGCCAGUAACUAGUACAUAAUAAACAUUUAUAAUGUGUUGCCUAAAA